rnacentral:lncRNA from 1 species
GAAACUUCUUCCAAAUUAUGCUUAUGCACUCCAAUGCUCUCUUGUCCAAAAACUCUACAAAACUAAUAAAUACGUGAAAUAUUUACUCAAAACACAAUCAAUUAAACUUAAUUGCAUUUUUACUAAAUUGUAAGGAUAAAAGUGUGUAAUUCAAUAAUAAAAUGGUAAAAGGGACCAAUAAAAAUAUAUGAAAAGUAGUUCUAAUUGGUCCCUAACACAUAGUCAGCUUC